CGUGAUUUGUGUUACCCUCAGGAAGACACAGCGAAUUCAUGUGAUAACUCAAAACCCUGCACCAAAGAGCACAUCUGACUGUAGAGAGGAGAACCCAUUCUGCGUUAAUGGGACUGGAUUUUAUGCCUGCCUGCAGAGCACCCAUACUCUGUGCUGGUGCCAGCCCUCGGGUAGCUCUGGGGUGUGGAUGCCUGCAUUGGUGCCCUGGGGGCUGUGCAAAUGGAGUG
rnacentral:lncRNA from 1 species